UUGCCUUAACUUUAUGAGUAAGGAAAAUAAAGAUUCAGGGUGAUGGUUGAUUCCUCAUUGCUAAUGUGAGAUUAAUUUUUGAGCUGGUAAAGAUUUCCCCUAUAGUGACCUGCCUACUUUUCAGAAGGCCUGGGAGUCAGGAUCUGUCCA
rnacentral:snRNA from 1 species